ensembl:misc_RNA Y_RNA Y RNA
GGCUGGUCCAAAGGCAGUGAGUUGUCUCAAUUGAUAGUUCAUAGUCAGUUGUAGAUCAAACUCCUUGUUCUACUUUUCCUCACCUUUUCACUACUGCACUUGAUUAGUCUAAA